UACUAUCUAGCGAAACCACAGCCAAGGG
rnacentral:ncRNA from 5 species